rnacentral:lncRNA from 1 species
GCCCUGGUGACUGACCGUCGGCCUCUGUCCAGCAGAUCAGGAGGUAGUGACCGAGUGCUCCCCGACCAGAGACCGGCAGUGCCAGUGCAAGCGGGGCCACUUCUUCUGCGACUCCAUGGACUGCGAGGAGAACUGCUUCCGGUGUCAGAGGUGUGAGCACAGCGCCGUCCUUCGACCCUGCAAUGCCACCAGGGACGCGGUUUGUGCCGACAGACCUCACCCACAGCCGGGAGACGGGAGCACGUUGUUCAUCGUUCUGGGGGCCCUGGCCCUGCUCAUCCCCGGCCCCGUCGUGUUCUGCUGUAGAAGACGCAUCUUGGGGCUCCUCCAGUGGGUGGCCAGUCGCUGGAAAGGUAAGGACGACUUCUUUUCCUUUUGA